AUACUUUUCACCUCCGAGCAAUUCACCCUGCGUUGUAUCAGGUUACCUACCUGUUGAUCUGUGUACUUCAAACCACAUAAAUAAGGUACAUAGUCCUCGAAUGGUGUAUCAUAAACUAGUCCUGGAUCAUUUGCCCUUGAUGGAUUAACAUGUCCUGCACCAAUUGCAUAGAUGUCAGCAGGAAGGAGCCUUUCAUCGAGUAUUGGACUAUUAGCAAGGUUUAACGUGUCAGCCGUUGUCAUCAUUGCAGACUUAAUAACAGCAGGAGACCAAUCAGGAUGUGUGCAUUUCAGCAGAGCUGCUACGCCACUAAGGUGAGGGCAAGACAUUGAGGUGCCUGAUAUGAUAUUGAAUGUGGAUUUGGUGUUCUUGUUGUCAUCCACGGAGGUAGGCCAAGCAGCAAGGAUAUUAGCACCAGGACCGAUUAUGUCAGGCUUCAAGAUUCCAGGACUAGCUCUACUUGGUCCUCUUGAGGAAAAUGCAGCAACCAUAGGAGCAUUUUUGUCUCCAAUUAUUGUUCCUUGGAAUGCAAUUGUAGCAACAGGGCUUGAUGUUGAGUUCA
rnacentral:misc_RNA from 1 species